rnacentral:lncRNA from 1 species
CAUCAUUAAUAAAGAUCACGCAGUGAUUAACAACAUAUGCAUACUACACUCCUUGCCAAUAGGAUUCUACAGAGAAUUUCGCAAUGUUUUUGCAUCUCUCUUUCUUCGGUCUUCGCUGUGUUCCCAAGCAACCGGCCUGCAGGCACGCAUGCACAUCGAUCGCCAGCUUCUGUCAGAUUUGCAAUGGAAACCGGGAACUCGUAAAGAAAAGGCAACGGCACUCACAUCUUGGAUGGACGGGACAUAGGGCUCCAGCUACUGUCCAUUCUCUCUCCUAAAUGGUUUUUCUUAGGCCUUGUGCAGUUCCCAAAUUUUUUUUCUACAAACAUCUGAUGGAAUUUUUAAACACCUAAAUAAAGCAUUAAAU